rnacentral:rRNA from 1 species
CACAUGCAAGUCGAACGGUAGCACAGAGGAGCUUGCUCCUUGGGUGACGAGUGGCGGACGGGUGAGUAAUGUCUGGGAAACUGCCCGAUGGAGGGGGAUAACUACUGGAAACGGUAGCUAAUACCGCAUAACGUCGCAAGACCAAAGAGGGGGACCUUCGGGCCUCUUGCCAUCGGAUGUGCCCAGAUGGGAUUAGCUAGUAGGUGGGGUAACGGCUCACCUAGGCGACGAUCCCUAGCUGGUCUGAGAGGAUGACCAGCCACACUGGAACUGAGACACGGUCCAGACUCCUACGGGAGGCAGCAGUGGGGAAUAUUGCACAAUGGGCGCAAGCCUGAUGCAGCCAUGCCGCGUGUAUGAAGAAGGCCUUCGGGUUGUAAAGUACUUUCAGCGAGGAGGAAGGCGUUGUGGUUAAUAACCGCAACGAUUGACGUUACUCGCAGAAGAAGCACC